GAGUGUCAAGGCCAUAGUAAGGAGAGUAGAAUCUGCCCAUUUAGCCCCUGACUUCAUCUCAGGCCAGCUGUAGGCAAGCGGCUCUGGAUAACAUAGCCUGUCCUCUCUCCUCUCCUCAGCAUCCCCUAGGCACCAGCCGGGCUGGGGGGAAGGGUGGUGUGAGUGUGUCUGGAUAGCUAGCCCCUUACCACCACUUCAGGCUCCUCAAGGCCAUCUGGGUGUCAUGGCAACAUGGGCAGGAAGCGGCUGCCAUGGCAACUGGUGUCCAGGGAAAUGCGCUGCCUAGCAACAGGGGCUAGGGCCACUCUAGCUCCUCACAGCACACUCUAGUGUCCCACACUCUCUGUGUGUCUUCGAGUCUGCAUCAUCCUAGCACUCCCACCCAGUGCAGCCUCGGGGCUCCACACAGACCCUCACCCAACCCAACACACCAAUCUGUAGGGUAUUUAACAUGCUAGCACAGCUCAUGCUCAUGCGGAACCAGCUACACGGCAGACCUGGGGCUCUUCUCUCCUACUAGACUCCCUCACCUCUCAGGACUCUCUGGAGAUCAAGAGCAUACAAGGACCGUGGAAAAGGGGGAGGCGUCUUCGGGGCUGUCUGAAAGAAACCAGCCUUCCAGAUAGGGCACAGCCCAACAAAGGUCUGCAAGACAACAGGAGACCGGCCGUUAGUCUGUAAGGGACUUCAGCAAACUGAAAGCGGGACUCAGCUAACUCGGGAUACAAGUGGCUGGGAAGCAGGAACUGGCUGCAGACAAGCUUGGACUCCAGUACUGAUUAUGGCAGCUGUCAACAGAAUUCCUUGGCAAACUCCCUAGGUCUCAUCAUUCCAGAUACCAGAGCUGGAGCAGUGAUAUGCAUGGCAAGAGGCCCUCCUGCUUCAACCUGGACCUCCCUAUGGUUUAACAGAAAAAAAAAAUACCUUUUAGCUUUCUGAACUCCUUCAUAAACAGAGAUAG
rnacentral:lncRNA from 7 species